rfam:Felis catus isolate Cinnamon breed Abyssinian chromosome A2, whole genome shotgun sequence.
GCCUGGGUGGCUCAGUUGGUUAAGCGUCCGACUUCGACUCAGGUCACAAUCUCGCAGUUCGUGGGUUCGAGCCCCACAUCGGGCU